rnacentral:misc_RNA from 1 species
AAUUUUCUUUUCCAACCUGACAAGCUGUGUGGCAACUCGUCUUUUUGGAUCCAGAUCAGCGUCAGCCAACGAAGUUUCAUCUUCACUUAGAGUGGUCGGAUAACCAGCCAGUCUUGCCUUAAAAUAGUCACUUAGCUGGUCAAGAACUGCUCUUUCCACACAAGGACUCAUCGGACAUAUUGGACCUUGAGAUGAUAAGACAGUUUCCAUUUCCGAAGGAUCUGAAACAUAUCCCAAUCUCAAAUAGGGAAGCAUCUCCAACACAGCCUCUCUUUCUUUUCCCACACAUACCUGGAAAGCUUGCACUGAUAGUUUACCAUUCCUUUGAGCAGCCAGUCUCUUGUCUUGGUAUUGAGGAUCCUCUGUAUUUAAUGCUGCCUCCACCAUUAGACGGUCGUGUGAAUUUUCUUCAUCAACAAACCCAUAGUUAAUGAGUAAUUUUGAAUUAGGUUGUGGUCCACACCACACGACAAUUGGAUCUCCUGCGCUAUAAGAGCGAUCAACGACCAGUUGCACUGCACCAUCAACUGCAGCUAGCAUUGCUUUGCAGUUGCUACAAUAGGAUAAUAAUGGUGGCCCCAAUGGGACUAGUGCAAACCUCCGCGCAAGACUAACUUUCUGCAAAUGUACAACACAUGAUUGUACCGCAACAAAAGCUUGCUUGAAGAUCUCAAAAGGAAAUGCUUCAGUGGGUAUUUCAUAUGGGUAUUGCUGAAACAGCGAUCCA